UGAGCGUACGGUGGAUGCCUUGGCACCAGGAGCCGAUGAAGGACGUGGGAGGCUGCGAUAUGCCUCGGGGAGCUGUCAACCGAGCUGUGAUCCGAGGAUUUCCGAAUGGGGAAACCCAGCACGAGUGAUGUCGUGUUACCCGCGCCUGAAUAUAUAGGGCGUGUGGAGGGAACGUGGGGAAGUGAAACAUCUCAGUACCCACAGGAAGAGAAAACAACAUGUGAUUCCGUGAGUAGUGGCGAGCGAAAGCGGAAGAGGCUAAACCGCGGGUGUGUGAGAGCUGGCAGGCGUUGCACUCGUGGGGUCGUGGGGCCCUUCUUCCCAUCACUGUCAUGGUGGGCGAGAGUAAGAAACCGGUGUGUUAGUCGAAGUGGUCUGGAACGGCCCGUCGUAGAGGGUGAGAAUCCCGUAGACGAAAACAUGCCGGCUCUCGUGGAGGGUGCCCGAGUAGCAGCGGGCCCGUGAAAUCUGCUGUGAAUCUGUCGGGACCACCCGAUAAGCCUGAAUACUCCCUGGUGACCGAUAGCGGACUAGUACCGUGAGGGAAAGGUGAAAAGUACCCCGGGAGGGGAGUGAAAUAGUACCUGAAACCGUGCGCUUACAAUCCGUCGGAGCCUUCGAGCAGUUUGGUCUGCUGGGGGUGACGGCGUGCCUUUUGAAGAAUGAGCCUGCGAGUUAGUGGCAUGUCGCGAGGUUAACCCGUGUGGGGUAGUCGUAGCGAAAGCGAGUCCGAACAGGGCGUAUCAGUGGCAUGUUCUAGACCCGAAGCGGAGUGAUCUACCCAUGGCCAGGGUGAAGCGACGGUAAGACGUCGUGGAGGCCCGAACCCACUUAGGUUGAAAACUGAGGGGAUGAGCUGUGGGUAGGGGUGAAAGGCCAAUCAAACUCCGUGAUAGCUGGUUCUCCCCGAAAUGCAUUUAGGUGCAGCGUCGCGUGUUUCUCACCGGAGGUAGAGCUACUGGAUGGUCUAGGGGGCCCACAAGCUUACCGAAAUCAGCCAAACUCCGAAUGCCGGUGAGUGAGAGCGCGGCAGUGAGACUGCGGGGGAUAAGCUUCGUAGUCGAGAGGGAAACAGCCCAGAUCGCCGGCUAAGGCCCCUAAGCGUGUACUAAGUGGAAAAGGAUGUGGGAUCGCUGAGACAACCAGGAGGUUGGCUUAGAAGCAGCCACCCUUGAAAGAGUGCGUAAUAGCUCACUGGUCAAGUGGUUCUGCGCCGACAAUGUAGCGGGGCUCAAGUACACCGCCGAAGCCGCGGCACUCACACAACACCCACUCGUUUCUGCGGAGACGGGUGCAGUGGUGUGGGUGGGUAGGGGAGCGUCGUGCCGCCGGGGAAGCGCCGGAGUGAUCCAGGUGUGGAGGCGGCGCGAGUGAGAAUGCAGGCAUGAGUAGCGAAAGACGAGUGAGAAACUCGUCCGCCGAAUGACCAAGGGUUCCUGGGCCAGGUUAAUCCGCCCAGGGUGAGUCGGGACCUAAGGCGAGGCCGACAGGCGUAGUCGAUGGACAACGGGUUGAUAUUCCCGUACCCGUGUGAACGCGCCCCUGGUGAAUCAGUGAUGCUAACCGUCCUGAAGCCGGCCGGUUCCUUCGGGAAUCGGUCGUGUGGAUGCACGGGACCCGAUCUGGUAGUAGCCAAGCGAUGGGGUGACGCAGGAAGGUAGUGGGGCCGGUCAGUGGUUGUACCGGUGUAAGCCUGUAGGGCGUGACAUAGGCAAAUCCGUGUCGCACGAGCCUGAGAGGUGAUGCGUAGCCGAAUGAGGCGAAUUCCAUGAUCCUAUGCUGCCGAGAAAAGCCUCUAGCGAGCUUUCACACGGCCCGUACCCCAAACCGACACAGGUGGUCAGGUAGAGAAUACCGAGGCGAUCGAGAGAACUGUGGUUAAGGAACUCGGCAAAAUGCCCCCGUAACUUCGGGAGAAGGGGGACCGGCCCUGGUGAAGACCUUCGCGGUCGGAGCUGGGGGUGGUCGCAGAGACCAGAGAGAAGCGACUGUUUACUAAAAACACAGGUCCGUGCGAAGUCGUAAGACGAGGUAUACGGACUGACGCCUGCCCGGUGCUGGAAGGUUAAGAGGACCGGUCAGCGGAGCGAUCCGCGAAGCUGAGAAUUUAAGCCCCAGUAAACGGCGGUGGUAACUAUAACCAUCCUAAGGUAGCGAAAUUCCUUGUCGGGUAAGUUCCGACCUGCACGAAUGGCGUAACGACUUCUCUGCUGUCUCAACCACAGACUCGGCGAAAUUGCAUUACGAGUAAAGAUGCUCGUUACGCGCGGCAGGACGAAAAGACCCCGGGACCUUCACUACAGCUUGGUAUUGGUGUUCGGUUCGGUUUGUGUAGGAUAGGUGGGAGACUGUGAAGCGGUGACGCCAGUUACCGUGGAGUCGUUGUUGAAAUACCACUCUGAUCGUAUUGGACCUCUAACCUCGGACCCUGAUCGGGUUCAGGGACAGUGCCUGGUGGGUAGUUUAACUGGGGCGGUUGCCUCCCAAAAUGUAACGGAGGCGCCCAAAGGUUCCCUCAGCCUGGUUGGCAAUCAGGUGUCGAGUGCAAGUGCACAAGGGAGCUUGACUGUGAGACCGACAGGUCGAGCAGGGACGAAAGUCGGGACUAGUGAUCCGGCACCGGCAUGUGGAAGCGGUGUCGCUCAACGGAUAAAAGGUACCCCGGGGAUAACAGGCUGAUCUUCCCCAAGAGUCCAUAUCGACGGGAUGGUUUGGCACCUCGAUGUCGGCUCGUCGCAUCCUGGGGCUGGAGUAGGUCCCAAGGGUUGGGCUGUUCGCCCAUUAAAGCGGCACGCGAGCUGGGUUUAGAACGUCGUGAGACAGUUCGGUCUCUAUCCGCCGCGCGCGUUAGAAACUUGAGGAAGGCUGUCCCUAGUACGAGAGGACCGGGACGGACGAACCUCUGGUGUGCCAGUUGUCCCGCCAGGGGCACGGCUGGUUGGCUACGUUCGGAAGGGAUAACCGCUGAAAGCAUCUAAGCGGGAAGCCUGUUCCAAGAUGAGGUUUCU
rnacentral:rRNA from 1 species